rnacentral:rRNA from 1 species
GUGCCAGCCGCCGCGGUAACCCCAGCGCCACAAGUGGGGAUCGCGUUUAUUGGGCCUAAAGCAUCCGUAGCUGGUUAUGUAAAUCUCUUGUGAAAUUGUUAGACUCAAUCUAACAGCGUGCAGGAGACACUGCAAAACUAGGGACCGGGAGGAGUCAGAGGUAUGCUAUGGGGAGCGGUAAAAUGCUAUAAUCCAUGGUAGACCACCUGUGGCGAAGGCGUCUGACUAGAACGGGUCCGACAGUGAGGGAUGAAAGCCAGGGGAGCAAACCGGAUUAGAUACCCGGGUAGUCC